CCUACGGGAGGCAGCAGUGGGGAAUAUUGGGCAAUGGGCGCAAGCCUGCCCCAGCAACGCCGCGUGAAGGAAGAAGGCUUUCGGGUUGUACACUUCUUUUCUCAGGGACGAAGCAAGUGAAGGUACCUGCGGAAUAAGCCACGGCUAACUAAGUGCCAGCAGCCGCGGUAGUACGUAGGUGGCAAGCGUUAUCCGGAUUGACUGGGUGUAAAGGGCGUGGAGGUGGGAAAGGAAGUAAGAUGUGAAAACCAUGGGCUCAACCUGUGGCCUGCAUUUGAAACUGUUUGUGUUGAGUACUGGAGAGGCAGACGGAAUUCCUAGUGUAGCGGUGAAAUGCGUAGAUAUUAGGAGGAACCCCAGUGGCGAAGGCGGUCUGCUGGACAGCAACUGACGCUGAGGCGCGAAAGCGUGGGGAGCAAACAGGAUUAGAUACCCUUGUAGUC
rnacentral:rRNA from 1 species